rfam:Rattus norvegicus chromosome 19, whole genome shotgun sequence.
GGGGACUUAGCUCAGUGGUAGAGCACUUGCCUAGGAAGCGCAAGGCCCUGGGUUCGGUCCCCAGCUCCG